UGGGGAAUAUUGCACAAUGGGCGCAAGCCUGAUGCAGCCAUGCCGCGUGUGUGAAGAAGGCCUUCGGGUUGUAAAGCACUUUCAGCGAGGAGGAAGGUGGUGAACUUAAUACGUUCAUCAAUUGACGUUACUCGCAGAAGAAGCACCGGCUAACUCCGUGCCAGCAGCCGCGGUAAUACGGAGGGUGCAAGCGUUAAUCGGAAUUACUGGGCGUAAAGCGCACGCAGGCGGUUUGUUAAGUCAGAUGUGAAAUCCCCGGGCUCAACCUGGGAACUGCAUUUGAAACUGGCAAGCUAGAGUCUCGUAGAGGGGGGUAGAAUUCCAGGUGUAGCGGUGAAAUGCGUAGAGAUCUGGAGGAAUACCGGUGGCGAAGGCGGCCCCCUGGACGAAGACUGACGCUCAGGUGCGAAAGCGUGGGGCAGCAAACAGGAUUAGAUACCCUGGUAGUCCACGCUGUAAACGAUGUCGAUUUGGAGGUUGUGCCCUUGAGGCGUGGCUUCCGGAGCUAACGCG
rnacentral:rRNA from 1 species